rnacentral:rRNA from 1 species
GACGAACGCUGGCGGCGUGCCUAACACAUGCAAGUCGAACGAAGAUAUUGAGGUAGUUUACUAUCGAUAUAUCUUAGUGGCGGACGGGUGAGUAACACGUGGGCAACCUGCCUUAAAGAGGGGGAUAACACCGAGAAAUCGGUGCUAAUACCGCAUAAAAUCAUAACUUCGCAUGGAGAAAUGAUCAAAGGAGAAAUCCGCUUUAAGAUGGGCCCGCGUCUGAUUAGCUAGUUGGUGGGGUAGAGGCCUACCAAGGCGACGAUCAGUAGCCGAUCUGAGAGGAUGACCGGCCACACUGGAACUGAGACACGGUCCAGACUCCUACGGGAGGCAGCAGUGGGGAAUAUUGCACAAUGGGGGAAACCCUGAUGCAGCAACGCCGCGUGGAGGAAGAAGGUUUUCGGAUUGUAAACUCCUGUCUUUUGGGACGAUAAUGACGGUACCAAAGGAGGAAGCCACGGCUAACUACGUG